ACUUGGAUAACUGUAGUAAUUCUAGAGCUAAUACAUGCAACUAAGCCUGUCCUUUGCGGGACGGGCGCACUUAUUAGAUCAAAACCAACCGGACUUCGGUCUGACGGUUUGAUGACUCUGGAUAAUUUACCUGAUCGCACGGCCUUUGUGUCGGCGACGUACCUUUCAAAUGUCUGCCCUAUCAACUUUUGAUGGUAGGUAAUUUGCCUACCAUGGUUAUAACGGGUAACGGGGAAUCAGGGUUCGAUUCCGGAGAGGGAGCCUGAGAAAUAGCUACCACAUCCAAGGAAGGCAGCAGGCGCGCAAAUUACCCACUCCCGAAACGGGGAGGUAGUGACGAUAAAUAACGAUGCGGGACUCAAUCGAGGCCCCGUAAUUGGAAUGAGUACACUUUAAAUCCUUUAACGAGGAUCAAUUGGAGGGCAAGUCUGGUGCCAGCAGCCGCGGUAAUUCCAGCUCCAAUAGCGUAUAUUAAAGUUGUUGCAGUUAAAAAGCUCGUAGUUGGAUCUCAGGAUUUGGAUGGAUGGUUCGCUUUCGGGCGCUACUAUCUGUCUGACCUACUCUAGUCGUGGAUGCCUUGGGUGCUCUUAAUUGAGUGCUUUUGGUGCCCGACGCAAUUACUUUGAAAAAAUUAGAGUGCUCAAAGCAGGCGUAUUGCCUGAAUAGUGUUGCAUGGAAUAAUGAAAUAGGAGUUUACUUCUAUUUUGUUGGUUUUCGGAGGUGAACUAAUGAUUAACAGGGACAGACGGGGGCAUUUGUAUGGAGGGGUUAGAGGUGAAAUUCUUGGAUCCUCUCCAGACAAACUACUGCGAAAGCAUUUGCCAGGAAUGUUUUCACUAAUCAAGAACGAAAGUCAGAGGUUCGAAGACGAUCAGAUACCGUCCUAGUUCUGACCAUAAAUGAUGCCAUCUAACAAUCCACGAAGUUUGCUUGUACGAACUCGUGGGCGGUCCCCGGGAAACCAAAGAUUUUGGGUUCCGGGGGAAGUAUGGUUGCAAAGCUGAAACUUAAAGGAAUUGACGGAAGGGCACCACCAGGAGUGGAGCCUGCGGCUUAAUUUGACCCAACACGGGAAACCUCACCCGGCCCGGACACUUUUAGGAUUGACAGAUUGAAGGCUCUUUCUUGAUCAAGUGGUUGGUGGUGCAUGGCCGUUCUUAGUUGGUGGAGCGAUUUGUCUGGUUAAUUCCGAUAACGAACGAGACUCUACUCUGCUAAAUAGAAC
rnacentral:rRNA from 1 species